rnacentral:misc_RNA from 1 species
AGCAGCCGCGGUAAUUCCAGCUCCAAUAGCGUAUAUUAAAGUUGUUGCAGUUAAAAAGCUCGUAGUUGAAUUUCGGGAUUGGCGCAUCGGUCGUGCCUCACGGGGUAUGAACUGGUGCAGUCAAUUUCUCACCUUCUGGAGAACCGCGAUGUCCUUAAUUGGAUGCCGUGGGGAACCAGGACCUUUACUUUGAAAAAUUAGAGUGUUUAAAGCAGGCAUUUUUGCUUGAAUACAUUAGCAUGGAAUAAUAAAAUAGGACGGCAUGGUUCUAUUUUGUUGGUUUCUAGGACCACCGUAAUGAUUAAUAGGGAUAGUUGGGGGCAUUAGUAUUCAAUUGUCAGAGGUGAAAUUCUUGGAUUUAUUGAAGACUAACUACUGCGAAAGCAUUUGCCAAGGAUGUUUUCAUUAAUCAAGAACGAAAGUUAGGGGAUCGAAGACGAUCAGAUACCGUCGUAGUCUUAACCAUAAACUAUGCCGACUAGGAAUCAGACGAUGUUAAUUUUUAAUGUACUCGUUUGGC